rnacentral:lncRNA from 1 species
GACAUUCUAAACAACUUUCAUGUUGAGACAUGGAGAUAGUUUUGCUUGGAAAAUCAUUUUCUAUGUUGAAACAUUAUAGGUCGUUUUGUCUAAACCCUAAUUUGAGAGUAAACUUUCCAAGGCCAUAACUUGCUCAAUUUUUAUAAGAUGAUAGAUUUACAAGUUGCACAAUCAAAUUCAAUGUGUCUACUUCAACUUUGAUGUAUGGAGUGAGAGCUAAUUCAACUUUUUUGAGCAUGUGAUAUGAGGCUACAUUAUAGGUCACUUUCGACCUAUACCAUUGAUCAAGUGAUUUUUCCAAACAUUAAAAAUGCAUAACUCUAUCAUGCAACUUCAUCAUAAGCAUUAGCAUUGGGAUCAUACCUUGGCAUCCUCCUUACCCCUCUUUCAUUGGGUUUGUUUUGGGAGAGAUCACCAAGCACUUUGUGAUUAUAUCAUACUUGUAUUUUAUCAUUUCUACUAACCAAAAUACCAAAAAUAUGUCUUUGUAUUUGCCUAACUCUUUUGUAGGUAGGGCAUGAUCUCAUUGAUUCAUCAAGUCCAUAUCUAGGGUUUGAGACCCUCAUGAACAAAGAGCACAACCAUGAAUUGAUUCAAGAAUGGUUAUGAACAUCAUAUAUAAGUCCCAAUGAUCUCUACAUGUUAUAUUGAUCAAGUUUUCUUCAAUAGUUUGAGGGUGAUUUGCCUUGGAAACCCUAGUUUGAUUGGGUAUCCUGAGUAACUUCUCCAACAAGCUAUCUCACCAAUUGAUCAAAUUUCUCAAGGGACACUUCAAAAUUCAUCAUCUUAUGCAUUUAUGAUCUACCAUGAGCCAAGAAAGUCAAGAGAAUUGGAGGUUAGCAAGUUGGUUGGUGGUGAUUGGCCAGAUGAAUUCAUCUGAUCAAAACUGGGUCUCCCUAGACCCUAUCUCCUACAAUUUUCACCAUAUGAAAAUAAUUCCAAGAGCAAACUUACUCUAAAUGACAUUCUAAACAACUUUCAUGUUGAGACAUAGAGAUAGUUUUGCUUGGAAAAUCAUUUUCUAUGUUGAAACAUUAUAGGUCAUUUUGUCUAAACCCUAAUUUGAAAGUCAACUUUCCAAGGCCAUAACUUGCUCAAUUUUUAUGAGAUGAUAGAUUUACAAGUUGCACAAUCAAAUUCAAUGUGUCUACUUCAACUUUGAUGUUUGGAGUGAGAGCUAAUUCAACUUUUUUGAGCAUGUGAUAUGAGGCUACAUUAUAGGUCACUUUUGACCUAUACCAUUGAUCAAGUGAUUUUUCCAAACUUCAAAAAUGCAUAACUCUAUCAUGCAACUUCAUCAUAAGCAUUAGCAUUGGGAUCAUACCUUGGCACCCUCCUUACCCCUCUUUCAUUGGGUUUGUUUUGGGAGAGAUCACCAAGCACUUUGUGAUUAUAUCAUACUUGUAUUUUAUCAUUUUUACUAACCAAAAUACCAAAAAUAUGUCUUUGUAUUUGCCUAACUCUUUUGUAGGUAGGGCAUGAUCUCAUUGAUUCAUCAAGUCCAUAUCUAGGGUUUGAGACCCUCAUGAACAAAGAGCACAACCAUGAAUUGAUUCAAGAAUGGUUAUGAACAUCAUAUAUAAGUCCCAAUGAUCUCUACAUGUUAUAUUGAUCAAGUUUUCUUCAAUAGUUUGAGGGUGAUUUGCCUUGGAAACCCUAGUUUGAUUGGGUAUCCUGAGUAACUUCUCCAACAAGCUAUCUCACCAAUUGAUCAAAUUUCUCAAGGGACACUUCAAAAUUCAUCAUCUUAUGCAUUUAUGAUCUACCAUGAGCCAAGAAAGUCAAGAGAAUUGGAGGUUAGCAAGUUGGUUGGUGGUGAUUGGCCAGAUGAAUUCAUCUGAUCAAAACUGGGUCUCCCUAGACCCUAUCUCCUACAAUUUUCACCAUAUGAAAAUAAUUCCAAGAGCAAACUUACUCUAAAUGACAUUCUAAACAACUUUCAUGUUGAGACAUAGAGAUAGUUUUGCUUGGAAAAUCAUUUUCUAUGUUGAAACAUUAUAGGUCAUUUUGUCUAAACCCUAAUUUGAAAGUCAACUUUCCAAGGCCAUAACUUGCUCAAUUUUUAUGAGAUGAUAGAUUUACAAGUUGCACAAAUAAAUUCAAUGUGUCUACUUCAACUUUGAUGUUUGGAGUGAGAGCAUAUUCAACUUUUUUGAGCAUGUGAUAUGAGGCUACAUUAUAGGUUACUUUUGACCUAUACCAUUGAUCAAGUGAUUUUUCCAAACUUCAAAAAUGAAUAACUCUAUCAUGCAACUUUAUCAUAGGCAUUAGCAUUGGGAUCAUACCUUGGCACCCUCCUUACCCCUCUUUUAUUGGGUUUGUUUUUGGAGAGAUCACCAAGCACUUUGUGAUUAUAUCAUACUUGUAUUUUAUCAUUUCUACUAACCAAAAUACCAAAAAUAUGUCGUUGUAUUUGCCUAACUCUUUUGUAGGUAGGGCAUGAUCUCAUUGAUUCAUCAAGUCCAUAUCUAGGGUUUGAGACCCUCUUGAACAAAGAGCACAACCAUGAAUUGAUGCAAGAAUGGUUAUGAACAUCAUAUAUAAGUCCCAAUGAUCUCUACAUGUUAUAUUGAUCAAGUUUUCUUCAAUAGUUUGAGGGUGAUUUGCCUUGGAAACCCUAGUUUGAUUGGGUAUCCUGAGUAACUUCUCCAACAAGCUAUCUCACCAAUUGAUCAAAUUUCUCAAGGGACACUUCAAAAUUCAUCAUCUUAUGCAUUUAUGAUCUACCAUGAGCCAAGAAAGUCAAGAGAAUUGGAGGUUAGCAAGUUGGUUGGUGGUGAUUGGCCAGAUGAAUUCAUCUGAUCAAAACUGGGUCUCCCUAGACCCUAUCUCCUACAAUUUUCACCAUAUGAAAAUAAUUCCAAGAGCAAACUUACUCUAAAUGACAUUCUAAACAACUUUCAUGUUGAGACAUAGAGAUAGUUUUGCUUGGAAAAUCAUUUUCUAUGUUGAAACAUUAUAGGUCAUUUUGUCUAAACCCUAAUUUGAAAGUCAACUUUCCAAGGCCAUAACUUGCUCAAUUUUUAUGAGAUGAUAGAUUUACAAGUUGCACAAUCAAAUUCAAUGUGUCUACUUCAACUUUGAUGUUUGGAGUGAGAGCUAAUUCAACUUUUUUGAGCAUGUGAUAUGAGGCUACAUUAUAGGUCACUUUUGACCUAUACCAUUGAUCAAGUGAUUUUUCCAAACUUCAAAAAUGCAUAACUCUAUCAUGCAACUUCAUCAUAAGCAUUAGCAUUGGGAUCAUACCUUGGCACCCUCCUUACCCCUCUUUCAUUGGGUUUGUUUUGGGAGAGAUCACCAAGCACUUUGUGAUUAUAUCAUACUUGUAUUUUAUCAUUUUUACUAACCAAAAUACCAAAAAUAUGUCUUUGUAUUUGCCUAACUCUUUUGUAGGUAGGGCAUGAUCUCAUUGAUUCAUCAAGUCCAUAUCUAGGGUUUGAGACCCUCAUGAACAAAGAGCACAACCAUGAAUUGAUUCAAGAAUGGUUAUGAACAUCAUAUAUAAGUCCCAAUGAUCUCUACAUGUUAUAUUGAUCAAGUUUUCUUCAAUAGUUUGAGGGUGAUUUGCCUUGGAAACCCUAGUUUGAUUGGGUAUCCUGAGUAACUUCUCCAACAAGCUAUCUCACCAAUUGAUCAAAUUUCUCAAGGGACACUUCAAAAUUCAUCAUCUUAUGCAUUUAUGAUCUACCAUGAGCCAAGAAAGUCAAGAGAAUUGGAGGUUAGCAAGUUGGUUGGUGGUGAUUGGCCAGAUGAAUUCAUCUGAUCAAAACUGGGUCUCCCUAGACCCUAUCUCCUACAAUUUUCACCAUAUGAAAAUAAUUCCAAGAGCAAACUUACUCUAAAUGACAUUCUAAACAACUUUCAUGUUGAGACAUAGAGAUAGUUUUGCUUGGAAAAUCAUUUUCUAUGUUGAAACAUUAUAGGUCAUUUUGUCUAAACCCUAAUUUGAAAGUCAACUUUCCAAGGCCAUAACUUGCUCAAUUUUUAUGAGAUGAUAGAUUUACAAGUUGCACAAUCAAAUUCAAUGUGUCUACUUCAACUUUGAUGUUUGGAGUGAGAGCUAAUUCAACUUUUUUGAGCAUGUGAUAUGAGGCUACAUUAUAGGUCACUUUUGACCUAUACCAUUGAUCAAGUGAUUUUUCCAAACUUCAAAAAUGCAUAACUCUAUCAUGCAACUUCAUCAUAAGCAUUAGCAUUGGGAUCAUACCUUGGCACCCUCCUUACCCCUCUUUCAUUGGGUUUGUUUUGGGAGAGAUCACCAAGCACUUUGUGAUUAUAUCAUACUUGUAUUUUAUCAUUUUUACUAACCAAAAUACCAAAAAUAUGUCUUUGUAUUUGCCUAACUCUUUUGUAGGUAGGGCAUGAUCUCAUUGAUUCAUCAAGUCCAUAUCUAGGGUUUGAGACCCUCGUGAACAAAGAGCACAACCAUGAAUUGAUGCAAGAAUGGUUAUGAACAUCAUAUAUAAGUCCCAAUGAUCUCUACAUGUUAUAUUGAUCAAGUUUUCUUCAAUAGUUUGAGGGUGAUUUGCCUUGGAAACCCUAGUUUGAUUGGGUAUCCUGAGUAACUUCUCCAACAAGCUAAUUCACCAAUUGAUCAAAUUUCUCAAGGGACACUUCAAAAUUCAUCAUCUUAUGCAUUUAUGAUCUACCAUAAGCCAAGAAAGUCAAGAGAAUUGGAGGUUAGCAAGUUGGUUGGUGGUGAUUGGCCAGAUGAAUUCAUUUGAUCAAAACUGGGUCUCCCUACACCCUAUCUCCUACAAUUUUCACCAUAUGAAAAUAAUUCCAAGAGCAAACUUACUCUAAAUGACAUUCUAAACAACUUUCAUGUUGAGACAUAGAGAUAGUUUUGCUUGGAAAAUCAUUUUCUAUGUUGAAACAUUAUAGGUCAUUUUGUCUAAACCCUAAUUUGAGAGUAAACUUUCCAAGGCCAUAACUUUCUCAAUUUUUAUAAGAUGAUAGAUUUACAAGUUGCACAAUCAAAUUCAAUGCGUCUACUUCAACUUUGAUGUUUGGAGUGAGAGCUAAUUCAACUUUUUUGAGCAUGUGAUAUGAGGCUACACUAUAGGUCACUUUUGACCUAUACCAUUG